GUCUAUUGGACUCUUCUACUUAUCCAUUAGUCUGACGGUGAUAAAGUGUGGCUAACUUGUGGGUGAUAUUAUAUUUUUUUAUUAAUGUGGCAAAGGAUCGGUUGCAAAAAUGUGUCUUCUAAUUGCUAAUGAUUGCUCUAGGAGUGCCAACGCGGAAGAGAAUAUUUUUUUUCAAAAAUUUUAUAACCACUUUGCUAUCAGU
rnacentral:lncRNA from 1 species